GAUGAACGCUGGCGGCGUGCCUAAUACAUGCAAGUCGAGCGAACAGACGAGGAGCUUGCUCCUCUGACGUUAGCGGCGGACGGGUGAGUAACACGUGGAUAACCUACCUAUAAGACUGGGAUAACUUCGGGAAACCGGAGCUAAUACCGGAUAAUAUAUUGAACCGCAUGGUUCAAUAGUGAAAGACGGUUUUGCUGUCACUUAUAGAUGGAUCCGCGCCGCAUUAGCUAGUUGGUAAGGUAACGGCUUACCAAGGCAACGAUGCGUAGCCGACCUGAGAGGGUGAUCGGCCACACUGGAACUGAGACACGGUCCAGACUCCUACGGGAGGCAGCAGUAGGGAAUCUUCCGCAAUGGGCGAAAGCCUGACGGAGCAACGCCGCGUGAGUGAUGAAGGGCUUCGGAUCGUAAAACGCUGUUAUUAGGGAAGAACAAAUGUGUAGGUAACUAUGCACGUCUUGACGGUACCUAAUCAGAAAGCCACGGCUAACUACGU
rnacentral:rRNA from 1 species